rnacentral:rRNA from 1 species
AUGCCUAAUAGCAUAAAUCUACAUAUUGUUGGGCUAGUUGCAGUUUGUUGGGCCGUGUGAAAAUUACAUAAAAGAGCUUGUUUUGAUCAGAAGUUAGUCAGGUCGCCUGCUGAACUGAUAUGCUAUGCAUGUUGUUUUAUGUGUUAUUGGGCAGGCCUGCAAUAUAAAGAGGAUUGAAUGAUGAUGGAGCAAGGUGUUGAGCUGCUGCAAAGGGAGGCAUUGACAGCUCAUGGUGAUGGCCAGGGUGAGAGAAGAGGAAGAAUCCUGCAGGUGGAGGCUGGUAUAAAUGAAGAAGAUGAAGAGGCAAACAAUGAUGGCAACAAUGUUAUGGAUGAAGACCGAAGGAUAAGAUAA